GUCUCGUUUCAGUGUCUGUGGAUGACACAUUUAAAGCAUCCAUGGCUGAUAAUUCUUCUGAAGAGUUCAGUGCUUUCAGUAAAAAGUUCUGCGAUAGCGCUGGUACCAUCCUAGGGGAGAGUGACAGUGUGGAUGUUGUAGCCUGUACAGUACAUUCUCUAAGCAAAGGUAGCAUCGUGACAACAU